GUCCGUUUGGUGACAUUUGACAAAAUUGGAAGAAUAUAGGGAAGGUUAGCAUGGCUCCUAAAAGUAUGACACGCACAAAUUGAGAAAUGAUUUUGCUUUUU